rnacentral:rRNA from 1 species
GCGUUGUCCGGAAUCAUUUGGCGUAAAGCGCGUGUAGGCGGUUACGUAAGUCUGCUGUGAAAGUCGGAGGCUCAACCUUCGAAAGCCGGUUGAUACUGCGUGACUAGAGUACGGAAGAGGAGAGUGGAAUUCCUGGUGUAGCGGAGAAAUGCGCAGAUAUCAGGAGGAACACCAACGGCGAAGGCAGCUCUCUGGGACGUUACUGACGCUGAGACGCGAAAGCGUG